rnacentral:lncRNA from 1 species
AGCUGUCGGUGGAGAUACCAUUCUGGGGUCUGGAUAGGUCAUGAGCGCAUGUGGAGGUGCUGGUUAGAUAUCUCUGCUUGAGAGAAUGGACAAAAUCAGAGAAGAACAGAGGGCUUUGCAAGGCACUGAGAAAAUAAAUGCAUAAUAUACAGCCAAACAGAAGCAGAAAGUUCCCAGAAACAAUCUUACCUUAAUAUACAGCAACUCUGCCCUCAACUCUUCCCCUCCGUACCUUGCUCAUUAGUCUCCGCUAUGCACACACCAGAUGUUCUUUCACUGAUUAACUAAACAUAGUUACUGAGUCCCUGCUAUGUGCCAUUCUACAUGCUGGAGAUAAGAGUGUUGAACAAGACAGGCAGGCUGUAUGCCUUCGUAGCAGUGGAGGCAGACAAUAAACACACUAAAGUUGAGAUGACGUCAUAGAGCGCCGUGUGCUUUGUAACUGUAGAAGCUUAAUUAACACUUACUGAGUGCUUACUCUGUCAGAUGUUGAUUUACAUGAUCUGUG